GCUGACACAUCCCGGCCAAUCUCCAGCAGACCCUCCCUCCCAGACCCUCCCUACUUCCUGGACAGCAUCCAUGUUGAAGGCAGCUUCAACAUGGAUGCUGUCCAGGAGGUGGGAGGGUCUGGGAGGGAGGGUCUGCUGGAGAUUGGCCGGGAUGUGUCAG
rnacentral:miRNA from 1 species